GAUGAAGAACGUAGCAAAAUGCGAUAAGUAAUGUGAAUUGCAGAAUUCAGUGAAUCAUCGAAUCUUUGAACGCACAUUGCGCCCCUUGGUAUUCCAUGGGGCAUGCCUGUUCGAGCGUCAUUUGUACCUUCAAGCUCUGCUUGGUGUUGGGUGUUUGUCUCGCCUCUGCGUGUAGACUCGCCUCAAAACAAUUGGCAGCCGGCGUAUUGAUUUCGGAGCGCAGUACAUCUCGCGCUUUGCACUCAUAACGACGACGUCCAAAAGUACAUUUUUACACUCUUGACCUCGGAUCAGGUAGGGAUACCCGCUGAACUUAAGCAUAUCAAUAAGCGGAGGA
rnacentral:misc_RNA from 1 species